UUUUUUACUUUGAAGGACCCUGUUUUUUUUUUGUUUGUUUGUUUUUAGAAUGAUGGUGUUUUAUUUUGAAGGAUUCUAUGUUUUAUUUUGAAGGAUCAUAACGUUUGUAUUUAUUUAGAGAAUUGCGAUAUUUUCUAAACUUCAGUGAAAGGAAAACUAACACUGAGUUGCUGUGGAUUCGUACCUAAACACAGAUGUCAACAAACACCCGCGUGAGCUAAGCGCGCGAGGACAGUCACGUGAACAGACUCUGUCGGGCUUUUAUUUUUAGGGGAAGAUUCCCGCUGCUGUUCCGGAUCCGGACAGACCCAAACACUCGACUGGGUUCGGUUCGGUGUCGCAGGUGAACACUUCGGUUUUACCUUCGACAGGUCCACGUUCCCUAACCCCCCGCAGCAGUCCAGAGGCACGCGCUCACACAUCCGCGUGCGGCGGAACGUUCAAAAGGUCAGAAAGAGACCCGGAAAGCCUGGACACGUCACUGUGAACUAUGAACCCCGCGUGCUGCAUUCUGGGUAGCAAUAAUCAGCAACAAACUGAGCAGACGGAUGAUGCUGGAGCAGACGGUGAUUCUGGAGCAGACGGAUGAUGCUGGAGCAGAUGGGAUGUUGAAGCAGACGGUGAUCCUGGAGCAGACGGUGAUUCUGGAGCAGACGGUGAUUCUGGAGCAGACGGAUGAUGCUGGAGCAGGCGGUGAUUCUGGAGCAGACGGAAUGUUGAAGCAGAUGGAUGAUGCUGGAGCAGACGGAUGAUGCUGGAGCAGACGGAAUGUUGAAGCAGAUGGAUGAUGCUGGAGCAGACGUUGAUUCUGGAGCAGACGGGAUGUUGAAGCAGACGGUGAUUCUGGAGCAGACGGUGAUUCUGGAGCAGACGGUGAUUCUGGAGCAGACGGUGAUUCUGGAGCAGACGGAUGAUGAGGACGCUUCAUCAUAGACUGAAUUUGAACCACAUUGUUUUCUCUUUACCGAUUCCAUGUCUAUGGAACGAUCAGGAUCGUUUGUGCAGGUGAGCUGAACCUCCUUCCACAACCUUCUCGGAGGAGGAGAGUCAUCAGAGCAGGAGUCACUGAUGACCAGAGAAGGAGCUGCUUUCUGUGGACCCCCCGAGCUCUGAAUCAUCACACUGAUCACAAAUAAUGUGAUGUUCUGAUCAAAGAUGACUCUCAUGAAAACACUCUGCCCGACAGUCACUGUAAACAGCCAGCGCACGUGCGCGUUCAUGUGCACAGCAUGUCAAAGCAUCUGCUGUUUAUGAAGCUGCUCAGACAAAAGAUUUUCUUUUCAAAUCUUCUAUCCCAGGUUGUGUUUCCAUGUUAAUGAUCAUCAAACUCAUCACAAUAACACAAAAAAACACAUUUUAUGUUGUCAUAAUAAAAAAACAUAAACCUGA